CACGGGGGGAGCAAGCGUUGUUCGGAAUCACUGGGCGUAAAGGGCGUGUAGGCGGUCCAGUAAGUGGAAUGUGAAACGCCUCGGCUUACCCGAGGACCUGCAUCCCAAACUGCUUGGCUUGAGUAUGGGAGAGGAUGAGGGAAUUCCUGGUGUAGCGGUGAAAUGCGUAGAUAUCAGGAGGAACACCGGUGGUGUAGACGGCUUUCUGGACCGUAACUGACGCUGAGACACGAAAGCGUGGGUAGCAAACAGG
rnacentral:rRNA from 1 species